rnacentral:tRNA from 2 species
GGGUGGUUAAAGUCGGUUGGCUCCGACAGCGGUCUGUAACACCGCGCCUAACGGGAGAGGUUCGAUGCCUCAACCACCCACCA